ACUCCUACGGGAGGCAUCAGUGGGGAAUAUUGCACAAUGGGGAAAGCCAUCGAUGCAGCCAUGCCGCGCUGUGUGAAGAAGGCCAAUUCGGGCUUGGUUAAAGACACUUUUCAGCGAGGAGGAAAGGGUGUAAGUUAAUACCUUACAUCUGUGACGUUACUCGCAGAAGAAGCACCGGCUAACUCCGUGCCAGCAGCCGCGGUAAUACGGAGGGUGCGAGCGUUAAUCGGAAUUACUGGGCGUAAAGCGUGCGCAGGCGGUUUGUUAAGCGAGAUGUGAAAGCCCGC
rnacentral:rRNA from 1 species